AAUUGAGUGGAAGGGUUUUUUAAUGGAGGUUGCUGGUUUCUGUGAUUUCUAAUCAUUAGAGUUAUGGUGAAAAUCCUUACUUUAUUU